rnacentral:rRNA from 1 species
GYCGCGGUUAAACCAAGGCGAUUAAGUCAUACAAUUUUCGGUUAAAAGAUAGUUAAGUAGUUUUAAAGUUUAUUUAAUUAUUAUCUAGAAGUAAAAUUCGGAGAUAAUUUAGAAUUUCUAACAUGACUAUUAAACUGAAGCUAUGAUAACCCUGAGGGAAACUGGGAUUAGAUACCCCAUUAUUCCUGGAGAUAAAUGAGUAUAAGUUUACCAGAGCACUACGGAUUAGGCGUAUUUAAAACUCAAAGAGCUUGGCGGUGUUUUAGACUUUUCAGGGGAACCUGUCUCAUAAUCGACAAUCCACGAUACACCCGACCUUUAUUUGCUUUCAAUUUGUAUACCGUCGUCGGCAGGUAACUUUUUAGAAAAAAGAAGUUAGCAGGAGGGCCUGUUAAUGAGCCAUCACGUCAGAUCAAGGUGCAGUUAACAUAAAGGAGAGGAUGGGUUACAAUUAUUAGAAACAUAAGUACGAAGUAGUAAACUGAAAGAUAAUUACGAAGGAGGACUUGAAAGUAAAAUAGAAUAUAUAAAUGUCUUGAAUUAAGCUCUGAAACGUGCACACAUCGCCC